GGCGGCGGUGGUGUAUGCAGGAGGCUGGCUGGAGUGGACCUCCGAUGCACAAAGGCCCUCUGCAGAGACUGGGAUCUGGGGCCUCGGACCUGGUCUCCGAGAUGUCACCGACAACUGCAAAAUUCUUUUCAGUUUUAAGUGGAAGAAUUGUGUUGCCAAAGGCUGAGAAGAGAUGAAAACGUCAUUCAAAAGUGCAUGAAAGGGCUUCCCUGGUGGCGCAGUGGUUGAGAGUCCGCUUGCCGAUGCAGGGGACGCAGGUGUCCAGUUUUCCCAGCACCACUUAUUGAAGAGGAUGUCUUUUCUCCAUUGUAUUCUCUUGUCUCCUUUAUCAGAGGUUGACUGCAAAUAUUGAGCCUAAUUUGGAAGGACAUACCGGUUCUGCAAUGGAGCGUGGAGAGCUGCCUUGAGAGCCACGUGAAGCUGAAGAUGGGCUGGGAAUUCUUUGGCCUUGGUCAUCUCUCCAUCUAUUUCACCUGCUUCUUCCAAUGUCAUGUCCAGCGUGGCGAGAGGCACAACGUGGGGCUAUCAGCUGGGGUUCCGGACCCUGGCUGCCUCUCUCUGAGUCAUCCCCCCACCCCCAGAACUCACCUGUGCCUCGGUUUCCGCACCCCGCAACCGGGGAGGCUAACAUACCCACUGCUGGGGCUGUUGUGGGCAUUAAAUGUGGGCCAAGCAUUAGGAGAACAGGCUCUUGACACACGGGUAGCACUCAGUAGAAUUUAGCAAACAGUUUCUGCCAGAGUCUCGCUCCUCUUUUCAUCUGACUAUCCAGAAUUUUCCUUCAGAACUGCCAAGCUCAUCUACUGUUCUCGAUGACUUACAGCGUGAAGACGAACUUCCGAUUUAAUGGAGAGAAAGGGUCAGAAAAGACAAAAAGCGUGUAAGCACCUGCCGGGCGCCUCCAGUCCGGGUUGCUGUCUCAGGAAGGCACCCGCCUGGCUGCAAUCCAGGCCACCAGCCCUUUGUGACGCACCCCUGACUGCCCACCCCCUCCCUGGCCUCUCACCCCCACGCCGCUAGUUACUCCACUCCCCCGUAUCGGUCUACCUUAGCAGCGGCUUCGACCGCAUGAGAUCUUUAAGGUGUAGACAUGGAUUUAAUCGGGGUCCCUCGGGAAUUCAUGUCUCAGAGAACAGAGUUGAAAAGGGAUCCCCAGAGAGUCCCAUCUGGGGCUGGGUUUUCAGUUCACACGGGCGAGUUUCUUUCUUUUUGGCCUGCGCCAGGGAUGUGCAGAUCCUCCAACAUGAUGCUGUUCUCAGAAAUGCCCGGGAUUGGGGUGACUCAUCUCAGCGGUGGUUGGGAAUAAUCACUGGAGAUGUAAAGUUUAAUUCUGUGUGUCACUUGGAAUUGCUGGGCUCUCUGAGGCUUAAAAAGUAAACCCUAAAUUCUCAUGACAAUGCAGCCCGGGUUUGCUUCUUGCUCUUGUCACAGUCCCAUAAGAUCUGGGGGGCUCUCCUUAAUGGGAGUCCCCAGGUGGCCCCCUUCUGCAACACACCGUCUGAGCCCUUUGCUUCCAGGGGAGGGAGCAGAGGAAUCAGGGCUCCGCCUGGCCCCCCACCCUCCGGAUUGCUAUUGGCGGGACCCAGCCACGUGACCGGCCUGGGCCAGGGCUUGGGGAUGCACGAUGGUUCCUGCCACUGUUUGCUUCGCACUUUUUAACACGAAAGUGCUGCUUUGCUGGCUACAAUGACAUAAGUGUGCGGCAGCCAGGAGGGGAGACAGUGUGUUUGCAGAUUCCCAAAGGAUGAGAAGACCGGCACCAUCAAGAAGUGGGCUGAAGUGUGUCGGCCCCCAGAUUCUUAUGUUGAAGCCCUGAACCCCAGUGUCUCAGGAUGUGACCAUAUUUGGAGAUGGCAUCUUUACAGAGGUGUUUAAAUUAAAUGAGGCCAUUAGGGUUGGCCCUAAUCUAAUGUGACUGGUGUCCUCAUAAGAAGAAGCGAUCAGGACACAGACACACAUGGAGGAUGACCGUGUGAGGACACUGGGAGAAGACGGCUGUCUACCCACCCGGGAGACAGGCCUCAGGAGGAACCAACCUGCUGACCCCUGGAUCUUGGACUCAAGAAUCAGGAGAGAAUGAACUUCGGUUGUUUAAGCCACCUUACCUGUUGUACUUUGUUAUGGCAGCCUGAACAGACAAAUACGCAUCGGAAACAUGGUAGAAUUGCCAAAAUGCUGGCAUCAGCUACGUCAGUUGUGAAAUGUACGUCCUGCUUAUGUCUGCUGAAGAAAAAAACUAGCCGUCAUUCAUUAGGAAAAGAUAAUUUAAAAAGGAAGAGCCACGAGCUCAUGGCUGUGACGCCUCAGUGGCGCCGUCUCCUGGAGAGAAUGUUCUCAGCCUGUGCACAGACAGGUGCUCCCCCAGGUUUGGUUCGUCACACCUUUGUGACUGGUUGUUAUUCUCAAGAACAGGAAGCAGAUACUUGCAGGCAUUUUCACGUUGACCUGGGGGAGACUCAUCGGCCCAGCUUUGCCUCUGUGUCUUGGCUCCCCUGGCCGAGCUGUGCCCUGAGCUGUGUCCGGCGCAGCCCCAGCAUCCAGCCAGCCCAGUGCCCGUUUGGGCUCCAUCUUAGUACUUGGGAUGGUGCCUGCACAGAGCCAGGUCCCUAUGACAUCUGCUGCCUGAAUGAAAGAGCACGAUAUUCCUGACCCCAAGCUUUCCUCACCCCACCCCCAUCCUUAGUGAUCCCAUUAUCCAGCCAUGAAGCUGGCCGGCUGGGACCCGCAGAAUCUCUGUCCAGGGAGACAAGUGCCCGGGGCAGGGGCUUGGAGACAGCUCAGCAGGAGGCGCUGACCCUCCUCAGGACACGGGCACGGCCUCCCGGAGCCUGGUUCUUGCGCUGCUGCCCCAUCCCCCCACUUCCAGCCCAGCUGCGAAGAAUCCAGUCUUCUUUCUUUUGUACCCAGUGGCCCUUUGAGAAUUGAAGAAACCUGCAUGUCCCCCACCCAGGGCGUCAUCAUAGCUCCUGGCUGCGACGUUGAGGAGCAUGGCUUCCGCCGGCCGGGCAUCCGGCGCAGCCUGUCUGUGCAACCGCGAGGUUCCCACGUGCCGAGCCGGGAGGUCUGCUCAGCCAGGGCCCAGCCAGGAGCCCAGAGCGCAGGGAUUCAACGGAGGCGCUGGUUCAGGAGCAUUGGGAAGGCCCAAGGGGUCAUGCGUGUGACCCAGGGACAGGACCUGCAGCGAGACAGGCGUGAGUCUUCAGGACCCAGGAGCUGCGAGAGGAGCCCAUGGGCCUGGGGGCGUCUCUCUUCUGAGCAGGGGCCUCCCCAGCGGCUGCUGGUGCCCCUGUGAGGCACCACGGGCUGGUUCUGCUGAAAGAAGCUGGCGGCCAGCAUCAACUGUGGCCGACGGGACCAGGGGCCAGUGCCUGGGACGAAAGUAACAGGGGCGACGUAUAAAUGUCCUCUCCGCCAGCACCUGCCUCCCCACUGCCCUCACCUGCCUCCCCACCACCCUCCAGGGCCCCAGUUGGCAGAGCCGCACAGGAGGCCGGCUGGCCAGGGGGACGUCAUCGGCGGGGUCCUCACCCAGCAGCCCAGUGUGUGAAAGGGCAGGUGGGAGCCCAGAGACAACAUAUCAGACGGCCAGCACUGGCCUCCCCUUGGCUGGACGCACCCCUCUUACCUGGAUGUACGUCCAGCCCUGGUCGACGAUGGCAACCUGUGAGUGCUUCUGCCUAACGAGAUGCAAUUACCCGUCAGAAAAACAAAGACACUGUCACCUCCUUUUGUUAAAGGGGCGACAAGAUCCCAGCAUCCCGACACGCGUUUCCUGGUGACAGUGGCGGCAUUCAUCUCUGGCAAGUU